GCAGAGUUUGAUCAUGGCUCAGAAUGAACGCUGGCGGCGUGCUUAACACAUGCAAGUCGAACGAGAAAGGGAUUGCUUGCAAUCCUGAGUAGAGUGGCGCACGGGUGAGUAACACGUAGAUAAUCUACCUUCAAGCCCGGGAUAACUAUUCGAAAGGAUAGCUAAUACCGGAUGAAGUUGAUUGGCACAAGUCGAUUAAUGAAAGAUUGCCUUUUCUUUGUGAGCAAUGCCUGUAUGAUCAAUAGUUUUACAGGAGAGAUAUUAGCAAAGGAAUAAGCUCCGGCUAGCUCCGUGCCAGCAGCCGCGGUAACACGGGGGGAGCAAGCGUUGUCCGGAAUUACUAGGCGUAAAGGGCAAGUAGGCGGAAUUGUAAGUCAGAUGUUAAAGGCACCGGCUCAACCGGUGUACGGCAUUUGAUACUGUGAUUCUAGAGUAAGGUGGGGGAAGAUGGAAUUCCUGGUGUAGCGGUGGAAUGCGCAGAUAUCAGGAAGAACACCAGAGGCGAAGGCGAUCUUCUAUACCAUUACUGACGCUAAAUUGCGAAGGUGUGGGUAUCAAACAGGAUUAGAUACCCUGGUAGUCCACACAGUAAACGAUAUACACUAGGUGUUGGGGGAGAUGAUCUUUCAGUGCCGUAGCUAACGCGUUAAGUGUAUCGCCUGGGGAGUACGGUCGCAAGAUUAAAACUCAAAGGAAUUGACGGGGGCCCGCACAAGCGGUGGAGCAUGUGGUUUAAUUCGAUGCAACGCGAAGAACCUUACCUGGGCUUGACAUCCUGGGAAGCCUGUAGAGAUACGGAGGUGCCCUUUCGGGGGAACCCAGAGACAGGUGCUGCAUGGCUGUCAUCAGCUCGUGUCGUGAGAUGUUUGGUUAAGUCCAGCAACGAGCGCAACCCCUAUUGUUAGUUGCCAGCGCGUCAAGGCGGGGACUCUAGCAAGACUGCCAGUGUAAUAAACUGGAGGAAGGUGGGGACGACGUCAAGUCAUCAUGGUCCUUAUGUCCAGGGCUACACACGUGCUACAAUGGUCGGUACAGAGGGAAGCGAAGCAGUGAUGUGGGGCUAAUCUCAGAAAGCCGAUCUCAGUUCGGAUUGGAGUCUGCAAUUCGACUCCAUGAAGUUGGAAUCGCUAGUAAUCGCGUGUCAGCGUAACGCGGUGAAUACGUUCCCGGGCCUUGUACACACCGCCCGUCAAGUCAGCCGAGUUGAUUGCACCCGAAGGAGGUGAGCUAACCGUAAGGAGGCAGCUUUCGAAGGUGUGGUUAAUAAGGGGGACUAAGUCGUAACAAGGUA
rnacentral:rRNA from 1 species